rnacentral:rRNA from 1 species
UGACCGCUGGCCGCGUGCCUACUACAUGCAAGUCGAGCGAACAGACGCGGAGCUUGCUCCUCUGACGUUAGCGGCGGACGGGUGAGUAACACGUGGAUAACCUACCUAUAAGACUGGGAUAACUUCGGGAAACCGGAGCUAAUACCGGAUAAUAUAUUGAACCGCAUGGUUCAAUAGUGAAAGACGGUUUUGCUGUCACUUAUAGAUGGAUCCGCGCCGCAUUAGCUAGUUGGUAAGGUAACGGCUUACCAAGGCAACGAUGCGUAGCCGACCUGAGAGGGUGAUCGGCCACACUGGAACUGAGACACGGUCCAGACUCCUACGGGAGGCAGCAGUAGGGAAUCUUCCGCAAUGGGCGAAAGCCUGACGGAGCAACGCCGCGUGAGUGAUGAAGGUCUUCGGAUCGUAAAACUCUGUUAUUAGGGAAGAACAAAUGUGUAAGUAACUAUGCACGUCUUGACGGUACCUAAUCAGAAAGCCACGGCUAACUACGUG